CAGUCGCCGCGGUAAUACGUAGGGUGCGAGCGUUAAUCGGAAUUACUGGGCGUAAAGCGUGCGCAGGCGGUUUUGUAAGACAGGUGUGAAAUCCCCGGGCUUAACCUGGGAACUGCGCUUGUGACUGCACAGCUAGAGUAUGGCAGAGGGGGGUGGAAUUCCACGUGUAGCAGUGAAAUGCGUAGAGAUGUGGAGGAACACCGAUGGCGAAGGCAGCCCCCUGGGCCAAUACUGACGCUCAUGCACGAAAGCGUGGGGAGCGAACAGGAUUAGAUACCCGUGUAGUCCCUGUCUCUUAUAC
rnacentral:rRNA from 1 species